UACGUGAGGGGGCAGAGCGUUGUCCGGAUUUAUUGGGCGUAAAGAGCGUGUAGGCGGCCAGGUAGGUCCGUUGUGAAAACUCGAGGCUCAACCUCGAGACGUCGGAUGGAAACCAUCUGGCUAGAGUCGGAAGAGGAGAGUGGAAUUCCUGGUGGUAGCGGUGGAAAUGACGCAGAUAUCAGGAGGAACACCAUGGCGAAGGCAGCUCGCUGGAACGGUACUGACGCUGAGGCGCGAAAGCGUGGGGAGCAAACAGG
rnacentral:rRNA from 1 species